rnacentral:rRNA from 1 species
AACGCGAAGAACCUUACCUGGGCUUGAACCGCACAGGACCAGCUUGAGAAAUCAGGCCUUCCCGCAAGGGACCUGUGUAGAGGUGCUGCAUGGCUGUCGUCAGCUCGUGUCGUGAGAUGUUGGGUUAAGUCCCGCAACGAGCGCAACCCUCGCCCUUAGUUGCCAUCAUUCAGUUGGGCACUCUAAGGGGACUGCCGGUGAUAAGCCGCGAGGAAGGUGGGGAUGACGUCAAGUCCUCAUGGCCCUUACAGGCUGGGCUACACACGUGCUACAAUGGCGGUGACAAUGGGAGGCAAUGGCGCGAGCCUGCGCAAAUCUCAAAAAGCCGUCUCAGUUCGGAUUGCACUCUGCAACUCGAGUGCAUGAAGUUGGAAUCGCUAGUAAUCGCGGAUCAGCACGCCGCGGUGAAUACGUUCCCGGGCCUUGUACACACCGAGUAUA